AUGUUAAGUUCCUCUAGUGAAGUCUAUGCCAUGAUAAUCUAUAAUAUAAGAAAGUCAGAUCUAUUUAAAAAUCCAAUUUUAUUCUUUUGUUCCAAAAUCACAACACGUGGCUUCCUGCAAACAUACCUCUUUGUUAAUCCAAAUAUCUAUUCUUUUCCAUCAUUCCACUAUUCCACUACCAGUCUCCCCAUGUUCUAUAGUAGUUACAACCAUCAAUAG